UUCAUAAAGUUCAGAAAUUAGCCGCAAAACUGGUGUUCAAGGAGCUUCAGACAUGCUCAAGAUCGCUGACAGUUGUUAUAUAAAAAAAGCUUCUUAUAUGCAAUGACUGGAUCGUGUUAUGCUUUCUAGUCAGACAACGAGAAUCUGCUACACAAAGGAUCAUCUGAAACUUAAAUGCGACGCUUCAAAGUUGAAUCAGGCCUUGAGUUUACAACUUCUUACUGGCAUAUUACAAGUUGUUCUUCUGAAGUCGGACUGCCGAUUCUUCAGAAGCUAACAUGAGUUGGGCAUCUCUCUUUCAUAUUUUCCUUCCUAAAUACAUAUACUAUGUUCUUAUUUGGACGCAAUCAGGUUUCUGACUCGAUUAUGUAUAUAAAUCUCCCAUCUAAAGAUCGUAUAUACGGGUGUUCUGCUUAGAUUUCUUCCAAGUUAGUUCUGAAUUACCAUUGGCUUCUGAAUGAUAAGGUCAUGAAAGAUCGAUCACUUUGUAAACCAUAGCUUCCUUCUAUCCCCAUUCUUAAUGUAAAUGGUGUUGUCUUCUUUCUA